rnacentral:rRNA from 1 species
UACGUAGGGGGCUAGCGUUGUCCGGAAUCAUUGGGCGUAAAGAGCGUGUAGGCGGCCCGGUAAGUCCGCUGUGAAAGUCGGGGGCUCAACCCUCGAAUGCCGGUGGAUACUGUCGGGCUAGAGUGCGGUAGAGGCGAGUGGAAUUCCUGGUGUAGCGGUGAAAUGCGCAGAUAUCAGGAGGAACACCAAUUGCGAAGGCAGCUCGCUGGGACGUAACUGACGCUGAGACGCGAAAGCGUGGGGAGCAAACAGG